CGGGACGGGUGAGUAACGCGUGGGUAACCUGCCAUAUACAGGGGGAUAACAGCGAGAAAUUGCUGCUAAAACCGCAUAAGCGCACGGAGUCGCAUGGCUCAGUGUGAAAAACUCCGGUGGUAUAUGAUGGACCCGCGUCUGAUUAGCCAGUUGGCAGGGUAACGGCCUACCAAAGCGACGAUCAGUAGCCGGCCUGAGAGGGUGGACGGCCACAUUGGGACUGAGACACGGCCCAAACUCCUACGGAAGGCAGCAG
rnacentral:rRNA from 1 species